rnacentral:rRNA from 1 species
GCUCAUGUACAAAAUACCCUGAAGACACUAGAUUCUGUCUGAUCUUGGAAGCUAGACAGGACCAACCCUGGUUAGUAUUUUGGUGGGAGACUUCCCACAAAUAUCAGGUGCUGUAGGCG